rnacentral:rRNA from 1 species
GACGUAGGGGGCCAGCGUUGUUCGGAAUUACUGGGUGUAAAGGGUUCGUAGGCGGUGCGGCAAGUUGGGAGUGAAAUCUCUGGGCUUAACCCAGAGGCUGCUUCCAAAACUGCUGUGCUUGAGUGUGGGAGAGGCGCGUGGAAUUGCAGGUGUAGCGGUGAAAUGCGUAGAUAUCUGGAGGAACACCGGUGGCGAAGGCGGCAUCCUGGACCAAUUCUGACGCUGAGGAGCGAAAGCCAGGGGAGCAAACGGG